UACGUAGGGGGCUAGCGUUGUCCGGAAUCAUUGGGCGUAAAGCGCGUGUAGGCGGUCCGGUAAGUCCGCUGUGAAAGUCGGGGGCUCAACCCUCGGAUGCCGGUGGAUACUGUCGGGCUUGAGUACGGAAGAGGCGAGUGGAAUUCCUGGUGUAGCGGUGAAAUGCGUAGAUAUCGGGAGGAACACCAGUGGCGAAGGCGGCGAUCUGGGAAGAUACUGACGCUGAGGUGCGAAAGCGUGGGGAGCAAACAGG
rnacentral:rRNA from 1 species